GACGGAGGAGGCUAGCGUUGUCCGGAUUGACUGGGCGUAAAGCGCGUGUAGGCGGGAUCUUAAGUCGGCGGUGAAAUCCCCAGGCUUAACCUGGGAACUGCCGCCGAAACUGGGGUUCUUGAGGGCAGGAGAGGAGAGUGGAAUUGCUGGUGUAGCGGUGAAAUGCGUAGAGAUCAGCAAGAACACCCGUGGCGAAGGCGACUCUCUGGACUGCUCCUGACGCUGAGACGCGAAAGCCAGGGGAGCGAACGGG
rnacentral:rRNA from 1 species